rnacentral:rRNA from 1 species
CUCGUAGGUGGCCAACUAAGUCAGACGUGAAAUCCCUCAGCUUAACUGGGGAACUGUGUCUGAUACUGGAUGGCUUGAGUUUGGGAGAGGGAUGCGGAAUUCCAGGUGUAGCGGUGAAAUGCGUAGAUAUCUGGAGGAACACCGGUGGCGAAGGCGGCAUCCUGGACCAAUACUGACACUGAGGAGCGAAAAGCCAGGGGAGCAAACG